UACAGAGGGUGCGAGCGUUAAUCGGAAUCACUGGGCGUAAAGGGUGCGUAGGUGGUAAAAUAAGUGUGAUGUGAAAUCCCUGGGCUUAACCUGGGAAUGGCAUCGCAAACUGUGUUACUAGAGUACAGGAGAGGUAAGUGGAAUUUCCGGUGUAGCAGUGAAAUGCGUAGAGAUCGGAAGGAACACCAGAGGCGAAGGCGGCUUACUGGCCUGCUACUGACGCUGAGGCACGAAAGCGUGGGGAGCAAACAGG
rnacentral:rRNA from 1 species